CAAAAACAUUGCCCCCCGUUUAAAAAUGGGGGGUGCCUCCUGCCCAGUGAAUUAUUCAACGGCCGCGGUAUCCUAACCGUGCAAAGGUAGCAUAAUCACUUGCCCAUUAAUUGUGGGCUAGAAUGAAAGGAUAAACAAAAUAAAUACUGUCUCUAACUAUUUUUUAUAAAAAUUAAUUUCUAGAUGAAGAAGUCUAGAUAAAGUUGACGGACAAGAAGACCCUAUAGAGCUUUAUUUAUUAUAAGAAUCUAUAUCUUAUUUAUAAUUUGGUUGGGGCGACCAAGGAAUUUUAAAAUCAUCCUUAAAAAUAAAACUAAUAAGUUGUUAUUCUGACCCUAUAUUAGAUCAAAAGACUAAGCUACCUUAGGGAUAACAGGCUAAUUCUAUUUAAGAGUUCUUAUCUAAAAUAGAGUUUGGCACCUCGAUGUUGGCUUAGGAAAUCUUAAUAGCGCAAAAG
rnacentral:rRNA from 1 species